AAAGAACAACCCAACCAAGGGUAAAUUAUUCAUUUUAUAACUUAAUCUUAACGUCCGUUAGAAGAAAGGGUAUUUGUGAUAAUUUUCUAUAUUUGAAGGGUAUAUAUAUAAUAUUUUCAAUUUUAUAGGGGUAUUUACAAUAUUUACAUAUUUAAGAGGGCUAGGGGUGGAAACGAGCCGAGCUUGAGCGAGCUUAUGUCAGCUCAAAUUCGGCUUGAAAUUAAUUUCAAGCCUAAAUCUAGGCUCAAGCUCAGUUUGAAAUUAAUUCGAACCGAGCUCUAGCGAGCCUAAUUUCGAGUCGAGCCGAUCUCGAGCUCUAAACGAGCCGAUUGAAAUUCUCGACAUUAUAUAAUCAAUAGUUCAAUUUUUAUAGAACAUUACUUACAAUUUGAUGCAACAUGUUCAAUAGUUCAAAAUACAAGAUAAUUACAAGAAAUGUGAGCUAGGGUGACUGCCUGACUGGGUGAGGGUGUGUGUGAGAGAGAGAGAGAGAGGGAAAAAAAAUUAGGAAUUUAAGAAUUUGAAUGUUAUCAUGUUUUAGUGUUAUGUGCAACAGUGAAAGUCUGAAAGAGAGAGUGUGUUAUGUAAAUUUAGAGUUUGGCUCACUUGCACGGUUGUACUUGUUGGGUUUAUUUUAUGGGCCAACAAUAAUGGCCCAAAUUAAAUUAAAGCCUAUAUAUAAUUAAAAUAUUAUAUAUAUAUAUAUAUAGUGCGUCUGGUAUGCUCAUGGAAGCACGGAGCGCUCCGUGCUUCCACUUUGUUUUCGAUGUUCGGAUUUUCGAAUCGACGAUNUAUGUAUAAAAUUAAUUAAGCUCCUAUAUUUUUAAAAGUAUCAAGUUAUUGGUAGUUGUAGAUUUUUAUCCAUUGGAUUAAGAGAUGUGCGGUUGGAUGAUGUGGGACCCCUAGUAUUGAGUGGGUGGUUGGUUAAAUAGUAUGAUCUAACGGGUGGAAAUGAUCAUAGGGUAGAUUUAAGGAUAAAAAAUUUAUAAGAAUCAAAUGCUUUGUGCAUUUACAAACACUAUAGCCGGACUAUAUAAAAGUAGAGCUACUAUACUCUUAUAAGUAUAGAGCCUUUCGUACUCAUAAGUUGUUUUCGAUAAUGGCGCUUCCGAAUCGACGAUCCAGUUCGUUAAAUAUGAUUUAGAGUAUUUAAAAUUUUUAAAAAAUAAAUUUUGUAAUUUUUUUUAUAAUAAAGUCUAUCAAAGUGGGCAUAAAAUGAAUUGUCAAAAUCAAACGACGUUCUAAAAAUGGAUGAUCGGAUUCUUCAAUUUAAGAUCAAAGUUAUUGAUUUUUAUCUAGAUAGUGAAUAUAAUUUUCUAUCAAAAAUUCAAUUGAUUCUGAUUCUUUUAUAUCGUUAAACUAGCAAGUAUCCCACCGUUAACAAUUGUCAAUUUUGAGAUUUUUUUAUUGUAAGGUAAAUAAUAUCAAAAAAUUAUAAAAUUUGAUUUUUAAAAGUUUUAAAUGUUCUAGAUGAUGU
rnacentral:lncRNA from 1 species